UACGAAGGGGACUAGCGUUGUUCGGAAUUACUGGGCGUAAAGCGCGCGUAGGCGGAUCGCUAAGUCAGGGGUGAAAUCCCAGGGCUCAACCCUGGAACUGCCUUUGAUACUGACGAUCUGGAGAUCGGGAGAGGUUGGUGGAAUUCCGAGUGUAGAGGUGAAAUUCGUAGAUAUUCGGAGGAACACCAGAAGCGAAGGCGGCCGACUGGGUCGGUCCUGACGCUGAGGCGCGAAAGCGUGGGGAGCGAACGGG
rnacentral:rRNA from 1 species